GAACUAAACGGCAAAUGCUGCCCAUCCUGUUUAAAAAGAAACUUUAGAGGUGAAUGCAUUUCUUCAGAGAGGGUGCAAUGCCGCGGGAAACAAAACAAAUGCUUUGCAUAUGAAGGAACGGUGGAGAAAGCAGAUUUGAGCGUCUGGGAUUACAGUAUGAAGGGCUGCAUUAGUGAUCUGGGAUGUAGUCUGAAGUUUGACGCGUUGCCCGGGACCAGGGAGGUGGAAGGAAGAGUAUUCGAAUGUACUGAACCAUUACCUAGUACCGAGUGCCCCGGGAUUUAAUUCUCGCUAUGGUCCACAAUUCCAUGAAGUAUGGCCAUCUGUAACAUGGAAAACGUGUGGCUUUUGCAUUAAAAUUUGAUCAGGGAUCUGGGAAAAAAAAUCUCAUCCCUUCAACACACUUCAAAAUAAUUGAUUUAAUGAUUUCUAAUAAAAAUGUUCCUCAUGCAUGCGCACUUACUGCGGUCUCUCAUUCUUCCACGGCAGAGAUGCAGGAAGGCAAUUGUCAAAAAAUAUACAUAAUUCUGAAUACGUACACGUUUAAUAAAAAUACGCCAUUUUUUGAAUUGUAUGAUUCUUGUUACUGUUUGCUUGCUCUUGUAUCCUCUCUGACCAAUUAAUAAAUAAAUCUUAUUAACCUAGAAAA